rnacentral:rRNA from 1 species
GACGAACGCUGGCGGCGUGCUUAACACAUGCAAGUCGAACGAAGAGCGAUGGAAGCUUGCUUCUAUCAAUCUUAGUGGCGAACGGGUGAGUAACGCGUAAUCAACCUGCCCUUCAGAGGGGGACAACAGUUGGAAACGACUGCUAAUACCGCAUACGAUCUAAUCUCGGCAUCGAGGAUAGAUGAAAGGUGGCCUCUACAUGUAAGCUAUCACUGAAGGAGGGGAUUGCGUCUGAUUAGCUAGUUGGAGGGGUAACGGCCCACCAAGGCGAUGAUCAAUAGCCGGUCUGAGAGGAUGAACAGCCACAUUGGGACUGAGACACGGCCCAGACUCCUACGGGAGGCAGCAGUGGGGAAUCUUCCGCAAUGGACGAAAGUCUGACGGAGCAACGCCGCGUGAGUGAUGACGGCCUUCGGGUUGUAAAGCUCUGUUAAUCGGGACGAAAGGCCUUCUUGCGAA